rnacentral:rRNA from 1 species
CCAAANUUUAGCCGNAGGGUUCCACCGGUAUUUUGGCCNGGUUAUUCCGUCGUGUGCCAGCCAAGAUUCGGUUUGAGGGUCNGUCAAAAGGNCCUGGGAAUGUACCUAUCCNCGGAUAGACUUAUAGACCANGGUGUCAUGCGGCCAUCGGGACCGAGGAACGCGCUUCGGCUAGGAUGUUGGCGUAAUGGUUGUCAGCGACCCGUCUUGAAACACGGACCAAGGAGUCUAACAUCUAUGCGAGUGUUUGGGUGUCAANCCCAGAACGCGUAAUGAAAGUGACGGAAGGUAGGAACGCUUNGGGUGCACCAUCGACCGAUCCUGAAGUUUACGGAUGGAUUUGAGUAAGAGCAUAGCUGUUGGGACCCGAAAGAUGGUGAACUAUGCCUGAAUAGGGUGAAGCCAGAGGAAACUCUGGUGGAGGCUCGCAGCGGUUCUGACGUGCAAAUCGAUCGUCAAAUUUGGGNAUAGGGGCGAAA